CCUACGGGAGGCAGCAGUGAGGAAUAUUGGUCAAUGGGCGGAAGCCUGAACCAGCCAAGUAGCGUGCAGGAUGACGGCCCUACGGGUUGUAAACUGCUUUUAUACGGGAAUAACGCGCCUUACGUGUAGGGCUUUGCAGGUUCCGCAUGAAAAAGGACCGGGCAAUUCCGGGCCAGCAGCCGAGGUAAUACGGAAGGUCCGGGCGUUAGUCGGGUUUUUUGGGGUUAAAGGGAGCGUAGGCCGCAUGUCAAGCGUGCUGUGAAAUGUCCGGGCUCAACCCGGGCCUUGCAGCGCAAACUGGCGUGCUUGAGUCCGCGGAAAGCAGGCGGAAUUCGUCGUGUAGCGGUGAAAUGCUUAGAUAUGACGAAGAACCCCGAUUGCGAAGGCAGCUUGCUGCAGCGGAACUGACGCUGAUGCUCGAAAGCGCGGGUAUCGAACAGGAUUAGAUACCCGUGUAGUC
rnacentral:rRNA from 1 species